AAAUUGCGAUAAGUAUUGUGAAUUGCAUCAUUAGUGAAUCAUCGAAUCUUUGAACGCACAUUGCGCCCGCCAGUAUUCUGGCGGGCAUGCCUGUUCGAGCGUCAUUUCAACCAUCAAGCCCCAGGCUUGUGUUGGGGACCUGCGGCUGCCGCAGGCCCUGAAAACCAGUGGCGGGCUCGCUAGUCACUCCGAGCGUAGUAGUUACAUCUCGCUCAGGGCGUGCUGCGGGUUCCGGCCGUUAAAAAGCCUUUUUUACCCAAGGUUGACCUCGGAUCAGGUAGGAAGACCCGCUGAACUUAA
rnacentral:misc_RNA from 1 species